UGGUACUUAACAUUCCCCUUCUCACGUAGAGUAAUAUUCAAUAACAGGAUAUAAUUCACUUAUUCAUGACUUAAACUGUUACACGAUGGACAAAUAAUUGGCCCACUUAUCCUAUAAAAACAACUUCAGUGUGCGAUUGUGAUUUAAUAGAGUGAUACAUAAAAUACGACAAGCCGAAAUCUUCUUUAAAUACUCGUUUCUGAGAUAUAUUAUAAAAGAAGAUUACCGUUUCCUCCUGCAUUAAAAGAAAGAAGAAAAUGACUAAGGGCACAGUACUUAUUUUAUUAUUGGUGCUUAGUGAAGUUAUCAAUGAAAGAUCUCAAGCAUGUAAACGGGUUGGUUAUCGCUGUUAUGAUGUGGGCGGUGGCUGUACUGCGACAAAUCGCAGAUGUUUUCGGAUUGGUUCCCGAUGCCGGUGUAGAUCUGCUUUUAUUAUCGGAUCACCACUGCAGAAUGACACCGAAUCGCAAACUAGCUUACCUAACAAUUAAAAUGCUAUCUUGCUCUUAAAACUGGAUUAUUUAAACGAUAUAUAAUUGCUCUUAAACAGUGUGUAGUGUAAAGAAGCCUACAAGAUGCAAUAAACAAAA